CAGUGGAGGGUCCACCUCCUAAAGAUACUGGCAUUGCUCGUGUGCCACUUGCUAGUGCUGCAGGUGGCCCUGGUGUUGGAAGAGCAGCUGGCAGAGGAGUACCAGCAGGUGUACCUAUUCCCCAAGCUCCUGCUGGAUUAGCAGGCCCUGUCCGAGGAGUGGGAGGCCCAUCCCAGCAGGUCAUGACCCCACAGGGAAGAGGCACUGUUGCAGCUGCUGCUGUUGCUGCUACUGCUAGCAUUGCAGGAGCCCCAACCCAGUACCCGCCAGGACGGGGAACUCCACCUCCACCUGUAGGCAGAGCAACCCCACCUCCAGGCAUUAUGGCUCCUCCACCUGGUAUGAGACCACCCAUGGGCCCACCAAUUGGACUUCCCCCUGCUCAAGGGAGACCUAUAGGCAUGCCCCCUCCAGGAAUGAGACUCCCUCCUCCAGGAAUUAGAGGCCCACCUCCCCCAGGAAUGCGUCCACCAAGACCCUAAGAUACAGUUGAUAAAUCUCAGCCCUUCUCUUUCCCUACAAUGCUGCUUGUGAAAUUGUGUAGCCUGCAAGCUUUUGACCCCUCUUACUGCAUUAACUAUAGAUAAUAAAUACAUAGCGCAAUUG
rnacentral:lncRNA from 1 species